CCUACGGGAGACAGCAGUGGGGAAUAUUGGGCAAUGGAGGAAACUCUGACCCAGCAACGCCGCGUGAAUGAUGAAGGUCUUCGGAUUGUAAAGUUCUUUUCUAAGGGAAGAAGAAAGUGACGGUACCUUAGGAAUAAGCCUCGGCUAACUACGUGCCAGCCGCCGCGGUAAUACGUAGGAGGCAAGCGUUAUCCGGAAUGACUGGGCGUAAAGUGUGCGUAGGUGGUUUGACAAGUUGGUAGCGUAACUCCGAGGCUUAACCUGGGCACUACUACCAAAACUGUUGGACUCGAGUGCAGGAGGGGCAAAUGGAAUUCCUAGUGGAGCGGUGGAAUGCGUAGAUAUUAGGACGAACACCAGUGGCGAAGGCGAUUUGCUGGACUGUAACUGACACUGAGGCACGAAAGCGUGGGGAGCAAACAGGAUUAGAUACCCCUGUAGUC
rnacentral:rRNA from 1 species